rnacentral:rRNA from 1 species
AGUCGAGGGGCAGCACGAUGUAGCAAUACAUUGGUGGCGACCGGCGCACGGGUGCGUAACACGUAUGGAACUUGCCCUUUACUGGGGGAUAGCCCGGAGAAAUCCGGAUUAAUACCCCAUAACAUAUUGAGUGGCAUCACUUGAUAUUAAAAGCUCCGGCGGUAAAGGAUGGCCAUGCGCACGAUUAGCUAGUAGGUGAGGUAACGGCUCACCUAGGCUACGAUCGUUAGGGGGCCUGAGAGGGUUAUCCCCCACACUGGUACUGAGACACGGACCAGACUCCUACGGGAGGCAGCAGUGAGGAAUAUUGCGCAAUGGAGGCAACUCUGACGCAGCCAUGCCGCGUGCAGGAAGAAGGCGCUACGCGUUGUAAACUGCUUUUAACCGGGAAGAAACCCCAGGACGUGUCCUGGGUUGACGGUACCGGAGGAAUAAGCACCGGCUAACUUCGUGCCAGCAGCCGCGGUAAUACGAAGGGUGCAAGCGUUAUCCGGAUUCAUUGGGUUUAAAGGGUGCGUAGGUGGGGCGAUAAGUCAGUGGUGAAAUCCUGCAGCUUAACAGUAGAAUUGCCAUUGAUACUGUCGCUCUUGAGUACGCUUGACGUGGGCGGAAUGUGCCGUGUAGCGUGAAAUGCUUAGAUAUGGCACAGAACACCGACAGUGAAGACAGCUCACGAAGGCGAAACUGACACUGAGGCACGAAAGCGUGGGGAUCGAACAGGAUUAGAUACCCUGGUAGUCCACGCCGUAAACGAUGAUCACUCGUGAUUGGCGAUAUACGGUCAGUCACCUAGCGAAAGCGUUAAGUGAUCCACCUGGGGAGUACGAUCGCAAGAUUGAAACUCAAAGGAAUUGACGGGGGCCCGCACAAGCGGUGGAGCAUGUGGUUUAAUUCGAUGAUACGCGAAGAACCUUACCCAGGCUUGAACUUCGAGUGACCAACCAUGAAAGUGGUUUUCCGCAAGGACACUCGGAGAGGUGCUGCAUGGCUGUCGUCAGCUCGUGUCGUGAGAUGUUGGGUUAAGUCCCGCAACGAGCGCAACCCUCGUCUGCUGUUGCCAUCAGGUAAUGCUGGGCACUCUGCAGAGACUGCCGGUGACAAACCGGAGGAAGGUGGGGAUGACGUCAAGUCAUCAUGGCCUUUAUGUCUGGGGCCACACACGUGCUACAAUGGUCGGUACAAACCGUUGCAAGCCCGCGAGGGUGAGCUAAUCGGAAAAAGCCGGUCUCAGUUCGGAUUGUAGGCUGCAACUCGCCUGCAUGAAGUUGGAAUCGCUAGUAAUCGCGGAUCAGCAUGCCGCGGUGAAUACG